GCCGGGGUGGUGAAAUUGGUAGACGCACUGGAUUCAAAAUCCAGCGGACUUCGGUCCAUGAGAGUUCGAUUCUCUCCCCCGGCA
rnacentral:tRNA from 1 species